GAUGAACGCUGGCGGCGUGCCUAAUACAUGCAAGUCGAGCGAACAGACGAGGAGCUUGCUCCUCUGACGUUAGCGGCGGACGGGUGAGUAACACGUGGAUAACCUACCUAUAAGACUGGGAUAACUUCGGGAAACCGGAGCUAAUACCGGAUAAUAUAUUGAGCCGCAUGGUUCAAUAGUGAAAGACGGUUUUGCUGUCACUUAUAGAUGGAUCCGCGCCGCAUUAGCUAGUUGGUAAGGUAACGGCUUACCAAGGCAACGAUGCGUAGCCGACCUGAGAGGGUGAUCGGCCACACUGGAACUGAGACACGGUCCAGACUCCUACGGGAGGCAGCAGUAGGGAAUCUUCCGCAAUGGGCGAAAGCUUGACGGAGCAACGCCGCGUGAGUGAUGAAGGUCUUCGGAUCGUAAAACUCUGUUAUUAGGGAAGAACAAAUGUGUAAGUAACUAUGCACGUCUUGACGGUACCUAAUCAGAAAGCCACGGCUAACUACGUG
rnacentral:rRNA from 1 species